GAUAUUGGUCAAUGGGGGGAACCCUGAACCAGCCAUGCCGCGUGAGGGAUUAAGGCCCUACGGGUCGUAAACCUCUUUUGCCGGGGGAUAAAGACAGCUACGGGUAGUUGGUUGUAGGUACCCGGAGAAUAAGCAUCGGCUUACUCCGUUCCAGCAGCCGCGGUAAUAAGGAGGAUGCGAGCGUUAUCCGGAUUUAUUGGGUUUAAAGGGUGCGCAGGCGGGCGAUUAAGGCAGCGGUGAAAGGCUCGGGCUCAACCGGAGCAGUGCCGUUGAUACUGGUUGUCUUGAAUGCGGUCAAGGCCGGCGGAAUGUGGCGUGUAGCGGUGAAAUGCAUAGAUAUGCCACAGAACACCGAUAGCGAAGGCAGCUGGCCGGGCCUGCAUUGACGCUGAGGCACGAAAGCGUGGGGAUCGAACAGG
rnacentral:rRNA from 1 species